rnacentral:tRNA from 1 species
AGCUUUAUAGUCAAUAAUGAUAUAAAAUUGCAAAUUUUAAGGGGUAAAAUUAAUACUAAGGCUU